AUUGAACGCUGGCGGCAUGCCUUACACAUGCAAGUCGAACGGCAGCACGGGAGCAAUCCUGGUGGCGAGUGGCGAACGGGUGAGUAAAGUAUCGGAACGUGCCCAGUCGUGGGGGAUAACGUAGCGAAAGUUACGCUAAUACCGCAUACGAUCUAUGGAUGAAAGCGGGGGAUCGCAAGACCUCGCGCGAUUGGAGCGGCCGAUAUCAGAUUAGGUAGUUGGUGGGGUAAAGGCCCACCAAGCUGACGAUCUGUAGCUGGUCUGAGAGGACGACCAGCCACACUGGGACUGAGACGCGGCCCAGACUCCUACGGGAGGCAGCAGUGGGGAAUUUUGGACAAUGGGCGAAAGCCUGAUCCAGCCAUGCCGCGUGCAGGAUGAAGGCCUUCGGGUUGUAAACUGCUUUUGUACGGAACGAAAAGGACUGCCCUAAUACGGUGGUCCCAUGACGGUACCGUAAGAAUAAGCACCGGCUAACUACGUGCCAGCCGCCGCCGUAACAC
rnacentral:rRNA from 1 species